ensembl:lncRNA
ACCAAACACUGGUUAUGGUGGAUUCUUAUUUACAUGGUCUCAACUUAUUUCCACAGCCCCAUCUGGAAUUCUAGAAAGAGACGGCCUCACUUGGAUCCCAUCUGGCAACACAGAGCAGCUGCUGCCAAAUAGAAAUGGAGUUGUGGCAGACUGAAGAGAUCUCUGAAUCCAUUUACAUACCAGAGGACAUUCCAGUCCUGGUUACACAAGGCAAAUUAGUGCGGGGUUACAACCGGUUUUCGUCAUCAAGACCUGCUGUCCCAAUUGCAGAACCUCGUGUCCGCUUCACAGUCAAGCUCCCUGGAGGAAGAGCAGAGGUGUGAAAGAGACAGGUGG